AUUGAACGCUGGCGGCAGGCCUAACACAUGCAAGUCGAGCGGAUGAAGGGAGCUUGCUCCUGGAUUCAGCGGCGGACGGGUGAGUAAUGCCUAGGAAUCUGCCUGGUAGUGGGGGAUAACGUCCGGAAACGGGCGCUAAUACCGCAUACGUCCUGAGGGAGAAAGUGGGGGAUCUUCGGGCCUCACGCUAUCGGAUGAGCCUAGGUCGGAUUAGCUAGUUGGUGGGGUAAAGGCCUACCAAGGCGACGAUCCGUAACUGGUCUGAGAGGAUGAUCAGUCACACUGGAACUGAGACACGGUCCAGACUCCUACGGGAGGCAGCAGUGGGGAAUAUUGGACAAUGGGCGAAAGCCUGAUCCAGCCAUGCCGCGUGUGUGAAGAAGGUCUUCGGAUUGUAAAGCACUUUAAGUUGGGAGGAAGGGCAGUAAGUUAAUACCUUGCUGUUUUGACGUUACCAACAGAAUAAGCACCGGCUAACUUCGUG
rnacentral:rRNA from 1 species